rnacentral:rRNA from 1 species
GCUAGCGGCAGGCCUAACACAUGCAGUCGAGGGGUAUAUGGUGCUUGCACCAUAGAGACCGGCGCACGGGUGCGUAACGCGUAUGCAAUCUACCUUGUACAGGGGAAUAGCCCAGGGAAACUUGGAUUAAUGCCCCAUGGUAUUAUUUUGUAGCAUUACUUAAUAAUUAAAGAUUUAUCGGUACAAGAUGAGCAUGCGUCCCAUUAGUUAGUUGGUGAGGUAACGGCUUACCAAGACAACGAUGGGUAGGGGCCCUGAGAGGGGGAUCCCCCACACUGGUACUGAGACACGGACCAGACUCCUACGGGAGGCAGCAGUGAGGAAUAUUGGACAAUGGGCGAAAGCCUGAUCCAGCCAUGCCGCGUGCAGGAAGACUGCCCUAUGGGUUGUAAACUGCUUUUGUACGGGAAGAAACACCCCCACGUGUGGGGACUUGACGGUACCGUAAGAAUAAGCAUCGGCUAACUCCGUGCCAGCAGCCGCGGUAAUACGGAGGAUGCAAGCGUUAUCCGGAAUCAUUGGGUUUAAAGGGUCCGUAGGCGGGCAAUUAAGUCAGAGGUGAAAGUCUGCGGCUCAACCGUAGAACUGCCUUUGAAACUGG